rnacentral:lncRNA from 1 species
UCUAAUUCGACCAAAUCAACAGAUUCGGUCAAAGGGUUCGAUUAUUUUCGAACACGAUCAAAAGAACAUUAAUCUUCAUUGGAGGAGAGUUAAGAGAAUAUAUAUUUUUUUUUUCUCUUUAUCUCCUUUGAAAAUAUAAGACAACAUAAUUCCUUUUCGUCUUCUUUUUUUUUUUUUACAUUCAUGGGACAACUAAGGUGGGAAAAAGAAUCCCUUCCUUGCCUCCCUACAUUAACAAAGCUCUCUCUCUUUUUUUUUUAUCACUGAAGAGGUAACAUUUCUAUCUCUCUUUAGAGAAGAGCACCGCUCUUUCUCUCUUUCUUUUUCAUCAUCGGAGAAAUAAAGUCUCUCUUUUCUCUUUAGAGAAGAGCACCGCUCUUUCUCUUUUUAUGCAAAUUGGACUCGCCAUUGAAGUAUUUCACCGAAUAGUUGAUGGGCGUGGCUUGAGCCACACUGUCUUUACGGUUGCGACGAGGUCGUCGGGCGUCAACUCCGGGUAGAUAUCGCCGUUCCGCUACGUUCACCGCAGAUGCUCGAAUAGCACCAUAUUGCACCCGCCAACCACCGCUGACAAGAUCUCAUCGGGACUAUGUCGCCAACUUGAUCAGAAAAAUAAACUUUCGUUCAGGAAUUUUAUCGAACAGGUGGAGGGCGU